rnacentral:lncRNA from 1 species
CUUAUAUUCAAGAUAUGAUACAAUACAUUAAUUUGUCAGAGAGAACAGUUUUCCAGUCAGAAGAAAAAAUAAAAAUAAAUUCAAUUUGCUCACUUCCAUUUUUUUUAUUUGAGUUUGGAAAAAUUCGGGAUGCUCACCUCGUUAAACAGGAAUUAAAAAUUGGCCUUAACAUCUUUGAUUAAACAUAAUGAAAUCAGUCAACCUGGCCUACCAUUCAUUGAUGCAUUUGCCCUUACACUUCUUGGUAGGUGACGGAAAGGACUAUUGGGAAUGCAACCAUAAUGAGGUGUUGGAUAUGUACAAUCAUACAAUUGGUUUUAUCGUUCUUUGCGAUAUUGUGUACAUUGAAAACAAAUACAGUUUGGCAAGGUGUAAACGAAAUAAUGGUCAUGACAUGUUUUGAGUUCAUGCAAUAAUCUAAACAAGAGGCUCUCAUGAGCCUGUAUCGCUCACCUUCUGAAGGCAGGCCUAAAAAUUAGUCUUUUUAUUCUGGGUAGCCACUUGGCUACCAAAUGUAAAAAAAUUGGUUCCAAUUGGUAUGGUAGUUUCAGAAGAGAAGACAUUUGAAUGCAUUUCUCCAUAGGGUCCAAUGUUAAACUAUGUUCACUGCUGGCGGCCAUUUUUGAUCGAGUGUGGGACUGUCAGAUACAAUUUUUAAAGGGGACCAUCAAAGGACUAUUUUGAUCAAGUUUCGUUCCAACUGGUAGUAGUUUCAGAAGAGAAAAUCUUUGAAUGCAUUUCCCCAUAGGGUUCAAUGUUAAACUAUUUUCCCCGCUGGCAGCCAUCUUGGAUGGGGUGCGGACGUGUCAGAUAUAAUUUUUAAUGAAAACAAUCCAAGGACCAAUCACCAACUUUGGUUCUAAUUGCACAAUAGUUUCAAAAGAGAAGAUCUUUGAAUGCAUUUCCCAUAGGGGUCCAAUGUUAAACUUUGUUCCCCGCUGGUGGCCAUCUUGGAUUAGGUGCAGAUAUGUUGGCUAUACUUCUUACAGGGGACCACCUAAGGACUAUUGUGACCAAGUUUAGUUCCAAAUGGCCAGGCCGUUUCAAGGGAAAAGAUCUUUGAAUACGUUUACAAGAAAAAUUUGAUAAAAAAGGGCAAUAACUCCAAGACAGGUAAAUUUAAACUUAACCUCUUUCUUUUAUAGUUUUGGAAAUAAAAGACAAAAAAUAAUAACUCUAAGAUGGGUUUUCAGAUUUUCUUGAAAAUUGCAGGGUAGGUAG